AACGAACGCUGGCGGCAGGCUUAACACAUGCAAGUCGAGCGCCCCGCAAGGGGAGCGGCAGACGGGUGAGUAACGCGUGGGAAUCUACCCAUCUCUACGGAAUAACGCAUGGAAACGUGUGCUAAUACCGUAUACGUCCUUCGGGAGAAAGAUUGAUCGGAGAUGGAUGAGCCCGCGUUGGAUUAGCGAGUUGGUGGGGUAAAGGCCUACCAAGGCGACGAUCCAUAGCUGGUCUGAGAGGAUGAUCAGCCACACUGGGACUGAGACACGGCCCAGACUCCGACGGGAGGCAGCAGUGGGGAAUAUUGGACAAUGGGCGCAAGCCUGAUCCAGCCAUGCCGCGUGAGUGAUGAAGGCCCUAGGGUUGUAAAGCUCUUUCACCGGUGAAGAUAAUGACGGUAACCGGAGAAGAAGCCCCGGCUAACUUCGUGCCAGCCGCCGCAGUAACAC
rnacentral:rRNA from 1 species